rnacentral:rRNA from 1 species
GUGGGGAAUAUUGCACAAUGGGCGCAAGCCUGAUGCAGCAACGCCGCGUGAGGGACGACGGCCUUCGGGUUGUAAACCUCUUUUAGCAGGGAAGAAGCGAAAGUGACGGUACCUGCAGAAAAAGCACCGGCUAACUACGUGCCAGCAGCCGCGGUAAUACGUAGGGUGCAAGCGUUGUCCGGAAUUAUUGGGCGUAAAGAGCUCGUAGGCGGUUUGUCGCGGCUGCUGUGAAAACCCGAGGCUCAACCGCGGACCUGCAGUGGGGACGGGCAGACUAGAGUGCGGUAGGGGAGAUUGGAAUUCCUGGUGUAGCGGUGGAAUGCGCAGAUAUCAGGAGGAACACCGAUGGCGAAGGCAGAUCUCUGGGCCGUAACUGACGCUGAGGAGCGAAAGCGUGGGGAGCGAACAGGAUUAGAUACCCUUGUAGUCC